rnacentral:rRNA from 1 species
CCUACGGGUGGCAGCAGUGGGGAAUAUUGGGCAAUGGGCGCAAGCCUGACCCAGCAACGCCGCGUGAAGGAAGAAGGCUUUCGGGUUGUAAACUUCUUUUGUCAGGGACGAAGCAAGUGACGGUACCUGACGAAUAAGCCACGGCUAACUACGUGCCAGCAGCCGCGGUAAUACGUAGGUGGCAAGCGUUAUCCGGAUUUACUGGGUGUAAAGGGCGUGUAGGCGGGGAGGCAAGUCAGAUGUGAAAACCACGGGCUCAACCUGUGGCCUGCAUUUGAAACUGUUUUUCUUGAGUGCUGGAGAGGCAAUCGGAAUUCCGGGUGUAGCGGUGAAAUGCGUAGAGAUACGGAGGAACACCAGUGGCGAAGGCGACCUGCUAGAACAUAACUGACGCUGAUGCGCGAAAGCGUGGGGAGCAAACAGGAUUAGAUACCCUGGUAGUC